GUGUAAAAUGUUUUCAGUUUCUUAAACCCUACAUGUACUAAUUCUAUAUCCUAUCUUAAAUUUUUCCUAGAUAUGGCAAGUACUUCAACUGCCAGUCUUAACCAGCCCGUUACUGGCUACAUUCACAACAUCACACCUCUGCGUCAUGGGGUUAAACGACAGUACUUCGAAUGAGUCUUACAACAACGCCACGAAGUCUGUAAGCUUGUGGUGUUCAAGGUGGAGCUCCAUUCUAAGUUUCUGAAGAUUGAGAAAGACCGAUGCCUGGUCCAACUUAAUAAUGUGGUUGUCCAGCCGUCAAGGAGAGAAGAUGAAAUGGACAUACUGUUCACGCACCAAUCCAAAUGGUGUUGCUUGAGUUCCAUUGACUACCCUUACAACCCCACCAUAAUGGUCACCGUUCAAGACCAAACAAUUAGCCAGAUUCUGCAAAUGGAUAUGGAAUACCACAGAGUUAACGUCACCGUAAAGAUAAUCCAGAUGGAAAUCGAAAGACAUGCCUUUCUUCAGGAUGAUGUCUUGCUAGAGAACGGUCUACACCAUAGCGGACACCACAGGCAUCAUGGAGCUUACUGUCUGGGGCAUACAACAAAACCUUCAGCUGGACUCCUGGUUUUACAUAACCAAUGUUAUGGAUGUUCAGAGGUACAAAAUUCCAGUCCAUGACAAAAGACACAAAAUUUACACCCACCACAUGCACUGACACCACAUUUCCACUACAGCCCACCACAUCUGAACACGUAACUGGAAACAUCAUUGGCGCCAAAGUCAACAUCAUUUACAUUUGUCCACUUAAGCACAAGUUAAAUAACAUGGCACUUUCCUGCACGAGAGUCCUCUCUGACAAAUGCGAUAUAUUUUACAGAGCCGACACCAUUACACUACACACACACACACGCCAAGCUCAAAAUAACAACCACGACCUCUGAUGACAUCAAAUCCAUUAACCUAGAGAACCACGUUCUCCGAUCCACAAUCCAAGUUCCAAAAAACGCCACAACUGACACAACAAUGGACUCUCUUUUAGACCUCCCCACUAUGAAUAUGACAAUACACAACCAGUACAUCACCCACCUGGCAUAUCUGGAAAAAUCACAUACAGACACCCCACAACCCAGCAGUCCACUCAUGCACUUCUCAUCACCUACACAAUCUGCAGCUCCAAGUGAUGACCGAGCCGAACUUGACCCUUUUAUGGUGGAAUCUCCAAUAGACAGUCAGCCAGAAGUAAACCAGCCAACUUCCCAAUCUCCCACUUCUAUUGCAGAUACCCCAAAUAAGUAAUGUAUUGUUAGUUUUAAAUUGCAACUUUGUUUGUUUGUUUUUUUUGUGGAAAUGUGCUUUUGUUUAAAUUUCAAUCCUGUGAGCACUUGAAGUAGCUCUUAUUUUUAUCCUCCCUGAUUUAAAUUGACUCUGUAAAUAUUGAAGAUGCAAGAUGUUGUAUGCAUUUCCAGAUUUAAAUUUUUUUUUUCUGUCUUUGACUAUGGGGAUGUGUUAUUUCUGACUGUUAAUAAAGAACACUCACUUC